UGGGGAAUAUUGGGCAAUGGGCGCAAGCCUGACCCAGCAACGCCGCGUGAAGGAAGAAGGCCCUCGGGUUGUAAACUUCUUUUAUCAAGGACGAACACAAUGACGGUACUUGAUGAAUAAGCCACGGCUAACUACGUGCCAGCAGCCGCGGUAAUACGUAGGUGGCAAGCGUUAUCCGGAUUUACUGGGUGUAAAGGGCGUGUAGGCGGGACUGCAAGUCAGAUGUGAAAACUCGGAGCUCAACUCCGAGCCUGCAUUUGAAACUGUAGUUCUUGAGUGAUGGAGAGGCAGGCGGAAUUCCGUGUGUAGCGGUGAAAUGCGUAGAUAUACGGAGGAACACCAGUGGCGAAGGCGGCCUGCUGGACAUUAACUGACGCUGAGGCGCGAAAGCGUGGGGAGCAAACAGG
rnacentral:rRNA from 1 species